UACGGAGGGUGCAAGCGUUAUCCGGAUUCUCUGGGUUUAAAGGGGGCGUAGGUGGGCAAGUAAGUCAGUGGUGAAAUCUCCGGGCUUAACCCGGAAACUGCCAUUGAUACUAUUUGUCUUGAAUACUGUGGAGGUCAGCGGAAUAUGUCAUGUAGCGGUGAAAUGCUUAGAUAUGACAUAGAACACCAAUUGCGAAGGCAGCUGGCUACACAAAUAUUGACACUGAGGCACGAAAGCGUGGGGAUCAAACAGG
rnacentral:rRNA from 1 species